AAUAGUUCACUUCGGUGACCGUCGGCAGUGCUAUUGGUGACCUCAAUACGAUUAGGUGCACGUGCGUUUGAAAGGUCGAUGUCUAACUCAACAAAUAGAGGGGCGACGUCUGAAAACUCAUUGAAAUCGCAUGUUAUAAACUUUGUAUAUAAUGUGAAUAUAUCUGGGGUGGACAUCAAAUAGUCAAUAACACUGAAUACCCCUUGGACCGUUGUGGGUGAAGCCGCUGCUUUGGUUAUUCUGGUGUCUGCCUUUGACAAUCCGCAAACCUGUUGAUUUACAUAAAUGCACAAGCCUCGUUCCGCAUUCGUUGUGACCGUUAUCUGGGUUUACACGUGACUGAAGAGGAACAUCACUGUUAUAAACAAACACAGUGUUAGUUGCAUUCGCUAUGGUCGAGUGUAAAACGUCAGCGUCAAUGAAAUCAUCCAGUUGCUUGGUUCGACUGUUAAAAUCUCCUAUAACGAACACAUUUCAAAGAGGUUAAAACAAUCGGUUUACCUGGACUUUGUCGGGCACGCUGCUGCCCAGUUCUACUGUGACCCUGUUGCUGGCCAUGACUCCUGCUAUGUCCAUCCUCGUUAGAGUGGUUGAUAUUUGCAGCGAAUCCAGUUCUCAAGUCCUUCUUGUUGUCUAUCACUAUCAGCGGUUCUGAACAGUUGAGGUCGAACACUGCCCUCAGAAUGUUCCGCAGAUCACUGGCGAAGUUCGUCUGAAGCUGAUCGGCAACCCCUGAAACAUUAUUACAAUGGCUAUUACUAAUUCUUAUACACAAGAGCAGUUUCAAGGAAGGGGGCUGAGGGGACCUGCCCCCAAUAAAAAUUAAAGUUCC